rnacentral:rRNA from 1 species
GAUUCGCCCGCCGCGCGCGGCGGGCGGGGCGGGGGCACGGGGGGACUCCUACGGGAGGCAGCAGUGAGGAAUAUUGGACAAUGGGUUAGCGCCUGAUCCAGCCAUCCCGCGUGAAGGACGACGGCCCUAUGGGUUGUAAACUUCUUUUGUAUAGGGAUAAACCUACUCUCGUGAGAGUAGCUGAAGGUACUAUACGAAUAAGCACCGGCUAACUCCGUGCCAGCAGCCGCGGUAAUAAU